GACGAAGGGGGCUAGCGUUGUUCGGAAUUACUGGGCGUAAAGCGCGUGUAGGCGGUUGUUCAAGUCAGGUGUGAAAGCCUUGAGCUCAACUCAAGAAAUGCACUUGAUACUGGAUGACUAGAGGACCGGAGGGGAUAGUGGAAUUCCCAGUGUAGUGGUGAAAUUCGUAGAUAUUGGGAAGAACACCAGUGGCGAAGGCGGCUAACUGGUCCAGCACUGACGCUGAGGUGCGAAAGCGUGGGGGAGCAAACAGG
rnacentral:rRNA from 1 species